CGGUGGCAUUUAUCCUCAUUCUACUUCUGUGUGAAUCAUUUUGAAAGAGGUUUUUGAAUAAAGCUUUGUGACAUGCUGAUAAAAGCCUAAAAGCAUUAAAAGCUAUGUGACAUGGAGAUGAUGACCUAAGAGUCUAUUCAAAACAAAUCAAGCCAUUUGGCACAAUUCAAGUGUGCUGAAUUCAACAAUUAACAAAUUGUACUUCUCCUCGUCUGACUCCUGAUCAUCAGGCAUCUCUCUUCUGAUGUUGUGUCUGGCACUCUCAGGAGAGGAAAGAGCUCUGUGAUACUCUUUACUGGCUUCUGUCAGUGUGGCUACAUCCCUCCGCGAUGGGGGGCGCUGUUUGAGGGCACCAUUUUGCUAGAGAAAGAGAGGCAAUUGCUACAGAGCUCCAAACUUUAUGUGGCCUUCAGACUAGCUCAAGUACAGUACGCAGAGAGCUUCCUGGAAUGGUUUUCAACCACAGACCAGAUGCAUCCAAGCCAUACAUAACCCAGUGCAAUGCAAAGCACUGGAUGCAGUGAUGUAAAGUAUGCCAUCACUGAACUACAGAGUAGUGGAAACGUGUUCUCGGGAGUGAUGAAUCAUGCUUUUCCAAUCUGAUGGACGAGUCUGGUGUGAAAAUUGGUGGAGGAGGAUUUAUGGUGUGGGGUUGUUUUUUUUUGGAGUCCAGCUCAGUCCCUUAGUUCCAGUGUAAUGAAUUUUGAAUGCUUCAGGAUACAAGAGUUUGGAGCAGGCCCCAUCCUCUUCCAACAUGACUGUGCACCAGUGCACAAAGCAAGGUCCUUAAAGACAUGGGGGACAGUCUGGUAUGGAUUAACUUGACUGGCCUGCACACAGUCCUGGCCUGAAUCCGAUAGAACACCUUUGGGAUAAAUUAGAGCGAAGACUGACAGCCUACAUGACCCACACCAGGAAUUGGAAAAGGGUCGAUAAACAUCUCCCUGAAAUGAGUUUUUGGAACUUGAUGUCAGCAUAUAGCACUUUUAAUCAACUGAAUCUAGGUCUGGCUAAACCUAUUUCCACAAUACAGUGUAUAUGUGAAGUUCAUGUUUCAACUGUGUCACGAAAGAUCCCUAUAGCCUACCGUAUGUUCCCCCCAGCAACAGUUCUUUUUGCUUAUAGUCAACUGGGAAAGGCUGUAGCACCCAGCAAAUUUAAACAGGAUAAUUUACUCUGAAACUGAAAGGAUAGGUGAAUAUUUUUAAAGGCCAUUUUUGAAAAACAAAACCAGGUUGUUUUUUUAUUCAUUUAUUGCUUAUAUAAACACUCUAAACAGUUUUUGGUAAAAAUAAAAUCUAUCAAUAAUUAUCAUAAAUAAAGUAAUCACAAUGACUUUUACAUGGCAUUGUAUUGCACAUUUAUAAGCCUUAACAAGAAUCACAGAACACAAGUGUUGCUCAGAUUUUGUGUAGCAGGAAUGUUCAGAGGUUGAGUUCACACAUUUCAUUGGUCACCUUUCAAAGGCAACUCGUUUGACUUUGCUGCAUUGAAUCAACGUCUACAUAUAAUCAAUUUGAACAUGGACUCGACAAACAACUUUACUUUCAUAACUUGCUUACGCUUUCUGAACUUAAAUCAUAAAUCCUAGCUGGUUGUAAUACAGAUGUGAUGUUUGCUGCUAAUGAUAGAGAAGUGGGUCUCAAUAUUGUCCAUUUGUGUAGUCAUACGUUCUUAUUCAAAUGUUACAUUUUGUAAACUAAGCUAAUUGUUAUCCCUUCCCUUCGCUUGACAGUAUUUUUUUCAUGUCAAAUUUAAAAGUGGAAUCUAUACAAGGACCAACAACUGCUUCGUGUCAAGACUGUCAGUUAUCUUGGUAAUGAUGGGCCAUGUCCACACCAACAUAUCACACCGUUAGCCCCUCAGUUUAUCAUUCUUAAUGACAACAUUCCAAAAACAUACCAGAAAAUCAUUGAAAAUGUCGUUAAGAUGCCAGCUUGUGACUGUCACUAGCAAUAAAAUUACUGUUUUGAUCAUGUUCCCAUUACAAUCAGCUGUGGAAAUGCUACCAUCUGUGCAAAGACCAGUGAAAGUAUAAGACCUGGACGGUAAUUUUAUGUUCAUUGAUGUUGCCAAAGGCUCAUGGCAUGCUCCUCCAACACAACGGUAGGAAGCAUCUUCAAGUUGCCUUUAUGAUUAACAAGAAAAUAAAAAGAUGAAUAAGUGACAAAGCUUCAAAGUUGUCACUGAAUGGUAAAUCCAGACCCUGUUUGUUCCCCAACUCUGGGUAUCUCUUUAUCCCAAAUCUGGCAUUACUCUCUGGAAGAAAAGCAAAAUAUAAAUGUGAAAAAAAUGUCAUCUAAAAUAACAAUUUUGAAUGAAAAAAUGGACUUGUUCACAUAUCAACUUCUGCUCGGAGUUCAGAACACACUUCCUUGAGUAACAUUUCCAUCAAGACCUAAAAAAAAGACAAAAGUGUCGGACUUCAACUGGUUUUGAAAAAAAUUAUAGUAAAAAUAGGAAAGCUUGUGUUCUUACAUAGAGAAGAUGUUUGUUGGCACUAGCUUCCUGCAGGGCAUUGAAGACCUUGAUGACUCCAUAACGGGCAUUCUGUUGGCCAACUAGAUUUGCCAAUGCAUCUGGCAGAGAAAAAGUAACACUUAGGAAAGUAAUCAGUCAUCAAUCAUCUUGCAUUCAGGUUUUAAAAUUUCAACAAUUUGGGAUUGCUGGCUCGGCUCCCCUUUGUGAUGGCUACCUGGAAUAUUUUCAAGUAGUUUUUGUUGAGCUCGUUCCUUUGUUUCAGUGCGCUCGGCAUCAGUUCGUACAUUGACAUGCGGUGCCAGAAUCCCAUUGGGCCAAAAGGUGUCCUUGAAAAUAUUGAUGUAACAGACCAACAUCUGUUCAGAGAAGAUCCAAUUCACUGUAUCCCUGAUCUGUCUGAAUAAGGAAGGACACAAAAGUUCAACCGCAUCUUUGCAAAAUACUUUUUUCCUGUUUCAGAAUUAUAUUUUUUGUUAUUCAUAUCGGUUUUACUUUCGACUUGCACUCACUUGUUGAUCGUUCGUCCAAAUGUCACCUGGACUAGUGCAAUAAGAGUCUUUCUCACCCAUUUAAACACUGUUUAGGUGGAGAGUUAAAUGUUAAUGAAAGUAUUCCGAGGAACAUAGGUUUAAUUUUCCCUUUAAAAUUGAAACAUCUCGAAAAUAAGCAAGUUUGACAACACAAAACCUUAAAAGACGACGAAUUGUAGCUGAAGCAACAUGAAGUGAUACUGGAAGUGUUAUACUCACUUCCUCUGAGUUCAAAUAUUUCUCCAAUGAGCAUAAAGCAGGGUUCAGCUAGAGCAUCUCUUCUCCCGUCUGUCUCAUCUCCGUAAUCUGACAAGUCGCUGUCGUCAUCCGCCUCUUCCUGUAAGCAGAGGUGACAGCACCUUUAGCGUUCGCGGUCCAAUGUUGGCGAAAAAGUCCUGCGUACGUUGGUACCUCAGUGUGAGAAAAGAAGUCCCCAGGAAGUUUCUCCAAGAAGGAGGCCAGAGAGAAAGAAGAUUUCUUCUGAAUGGACAUCACCUUCAAAAAGUCAGGAACACAACUUCAAUGUAUUGUCUCUGUCAUUCAAAACCAGAGGUGGGUAGAGUAGCCAAAAAAUGUGCUCAAGUAAGAGUAGCGUUACUUCAAAAAUGAUAUUACUCAAGUAAAAUAAAGUAGUCAUCCAAAAAAUUUACUCAAGUACAAGUCAAAAAGUACUUGGUAAAAAUAAUACUCAAGUAAUGAGUAGGACUGUGAGUAACUGCUUAUAUUUUUGUUGGAUUUUUUUUUGAUGGCAUUUUUUCCUGGGCUCAAAGUUACCUAUAUGAACUAUUGUUAUAAUGAUAAUGUACAAUAACACAUUACAUAA